GCUGAGGAGAGACUGGGGUAGGCUGAGGAGAGGCUGAGGAGACAUUGGGGUAGGCUGAGGAGAGACUGGGGUAGGCUGAGGAGAGGCUGAGGAGAGACUGGGGUAGACUGAGGAGAGACUGGGGUAGGCUGAGGAGAGGCUGAGGAGACAUUGGGGUAGGCUGAGGAGAGACUGGGGUAGGCUGAGGAGAGGCUGAGGAGAGACUGGGGUAGACUGAGGAGAGGCUGGGGUAGCCUGAGGAGAGGCUGGGGUAGGCUGGGGUAGGUUGAGGAGAGGCUGAGGUAGGCUGAGGAGAGGCUGGGGUAGGCUGAGGAGAGACUGGGGUAGGCUGGGGUAGGUUGAGGAGAGGCUGAGGUAGGUUGAGGAGAGACUGGGGUAGGCUGAGGAGAGACUGGGGUAGGCUGAGGAGAGGCUGAGGAGACAUUGGGGUAGGCUGAGGAGAGACUGGGGUAGGCUGAGGAGAGACUGGGGUAGGCUGAGGAGAGGCUGGGGUAGGCUGAGGAGAGGCUGAGGAGAGGCUGAGGAGAGGCUGGGGUAGGCUGAGGAGAGGCUGGGGAGAGGCUGGGGCCUGAAACAUUUCUGGGUGGGGUGGAUGAGGUUUGGACUGAGCAGACUGAACAGUUUUGUGAGAGGUGUAUCAGGUCGCUACACUUUAGGAAAUCCAUGGGUCCAUUUGGAGUAGAUUACAUUGAUACUGCAGAUGCACAGGGUAUUUUGUGACUGUGGUAUUUAAGGAAAUAGGAUACUUCAAGUUAAGGCCAUAGCACUAGCAGCAGCUGCACCUACUCCUCACAAUGCUUGCCUUCACUCACUGUAUAAUAGUUGACAGACUUGUUGGCCACUACUGUCAGAUUAGGGAGAGAGAGCAAUGAGGACAUAACAAAAAUCAUGAUUGAUAGAAAUUAUUCUGGAACACAUUUUAAGUCUGAUGUUUUGAUAUGCCUGAUUUAAUCCAAGACAUUCAUCUAUCUUAGUUCGUCUAAGUGCCAAAGCUCAUCUGAAAGAAAAAGUUAUUUAACCUCUACGGGGGCGGUGACCCCGCCCCGCCCCGCGGGACUGUUGAGCUAACGUGCGCUAAUAUGAUUAGCAUGAGGUUGUAAGUAACAAGAAUAUUUCCCAGGACGUAGACAUGUUUUAUAUGGGCAGAAAGCUUAAAUUCUUGUUAAUCUAACUGCACUGUCCAAUUUAUUGUAGCUACUACAGGGAAAAAUUAGCAUGCCAUUGUUUGAGGAGAGUGCACAGUUAUGUAGUUGAAAAUGUGUCAAUUGGCCAAUUAGGCACAUUUGGGCAGACUUGAUACAACAUUUAGUACAGUAAUGCAAUGGUUCAUUGGAUCAGUCUAAAUCUUUGCACAUACGUUGCUGCCAUCUAGUGGCCAAAAUCAAAAUUGCGCCUAAGUCAUAAUGGCUUUUCUCUUGCAUUUCAAAGAUGAUUGAACAAAAAAAAUGUUAAUAGAAAACGCAUGUUUUUAUUCUUUCGUAUUAUCUUUUACCAGAUCUAAUGUGUUAUAUUCUCCUACAUUCAUUUCACAUUUCCACAAACUUCAAAGUGUUUCCUUUCAAAUGGUAUCAAGAAUAUGCAUAUCCUUGUUUCAGGUCCUGAGCUACAGGCAGUUAGAUUUGGGUAUGUCAUUUUAGGAGAAACUUUUUAAAAAAAGGGUUCGAUCCAUUUGCACCUAUGAACCGUUUUAUUUUCAACAGAGCUGUGCAAUGCUGGCAGUUUUGGCCACUAUUUUACAUCCAGUCUAGAACAGAUUAAUAUAUACUUGGAUACGUCCAGUAAUUAUUUAUGGCAAUAAUUGUCAUUCCUAGUUUGCUG
rnacentral:lncRNA from 1 species